rnacentral:lncRNA from 1 species
GUUACUAUAAAAAAUAUAACUAUCUAUAAAUAUUAUCAAUAAUCAUUGAUAGCAGGAAAAGAAAUUGUUUCUAAAACAUAAAGGACUUGUAACUAUAUCUUAAUCCUCCUAUUAAUUAAAAAAUGAUACUCAUUGAAAAAUAAAUAUUGAUUAUUAUAUAUUAAUCAUUACAAAAGUCAACUCUAAAAAAAAGUAUUUCCCAUG